rnacentral:rRNA from 1 species
GAGUUUGAUCUUGGCUCAGAUUGAACGCUGGCGGCAUGCCUUACACAUGCAAGUCGAGCGGCAGCGCGGGGGCAACCCUGGCGGCGAGCGGCGAACGGGUGAGUAAUGCAUCGGAACGUGUCCUCUUGUGGGGGAUAACCAGUCGAAAGACUGGCUAAUACCGCAUGAGAUCGAGAGAUGAAAGCAGGGGACCGCAAGGCCUUGCGCGAGAGGAGCGGCCGAUGCCGGAUUAGCUAGUUGGUGGGGUAACGGCCUACCAAGGCGACGAUCCGUAGCUGGUCUGAGAGGACGACCAGCCACACUGGGACUGAGACACGGCCCAGACUCCUACGGGAGGCAGCAGUGGGGAAUUUUGGACAAUGGGGGCAACCCUGAUCCAGCCAUGCCGCGUGUGUGAAGAAGGCCUUCGGUUGUAAG